UAUUCAUAAAAUUAUUAUUUUAUUUAAAAAUAUUCUUUCCGCCCACCGCCGUUCUCUAAAACUCAAACUUACCUCAAAUACCCUUUAGUAUCCUCAAUAGAGUCUCAUCAAUCAUUAAAUAAGGUUACGGGGUGUUACAAUUAGAGAGUAGGGUGGUUGUAACUCUGGUUAAGUGUGACCUUUGUGCACAAUUGAGCUCUAGCUAGAGAACUGUUGGGUAGCCGAUGGGCUGUUAGACAUGGCUGGAGCCAAGGUCUGUGAUUUUACUUGACUAGGCCACAAAUGACUAUAUGCUGUUGCGACCGCUUGAUAUUUUCUUUGAUGUCGGCCAACAUCGUUGAGAUAGGCAUGUGGGGAUCUAGUGGAGUAGAACUCCCGGAUGUUAUGACAUGGAAACGGGUCCACGUGUUGUUAUUUUCUACCUACUUGAGAGUGAUAUUUCUUUUGAUUUAUACAUAAGUGAUCAGCUUUAGGAUUGUGUUCGACAUAUCGAGGGUGACUACGCCCUAGGUAUGGCCUCUCUAGAUUUCCACUCCGGGUCACUCCGCUGCCUAGGGGUCAUUGUGUAUACAAUAAUCUAGGGUGUAAAAAUUGAUAGUCUUUAAAGAUGUAAAUGUUAAAGCAUAAGACUAUGUGGAAAUGUUUAAAUACUAUGACUGGUUGUACAUGUAGUUAUUAAACUUAGAUGUUUGUAUCAAAUAGUUAUGUUUUAAAUAAAUGUGAAUAUUUGGUGUAAAUAAUUAUUGGUGUUAAUAUGUGAGGUGAUGUGGAGAUCAAAUUAAGGCUUGUUUGAGAUUUGGUGAGUUCACUCACAAGUCUCGAAUGCCGGUAGCGAUCGAGGGGAAGAGGUCGUUACAG